CACGGAGAAAAAACGGUACAGAUUGAAAUAACAAAAAUUUUGGUUGUUUUUCAACCUAAGGAAAUUGUUAUUUUUAAUUUGAAAAUAGUUCUUUCAAUUUAAUAAGAUCUUGCAGAAUCGGUUAUUGGCCAUAAGGAAAUUGCAAUAUUUGCUGAUUUAUUUCGAUGCCAUCUAUGGAAAACAUUCCCUGGGGAAACUUGAGCCACCUCGGCGCAACCACCAACUUCGGCAAAAAGUGGCACACAGGUUCAUCUUUUAAUUGACAUCCACUAGGGCCUGCGUCAUCGAACAGAAUCAGGCUUUUAAUACGGUUUUCAUUAGCCACACAAAAAUCGAAAUUGUUGCCGUCUGAAAUCUGAUUGCGCUAGUCCGGAUUAAUUGCAUGUUCCAGAGAGCCAAUCGGGCUUUGGAAUCAACAGGAUUCACCCGAACCAGCGAUCCAGUGUUCGAAUCGGAGCAGAACCAUUGCCCCCAUUUCCCAGAAUGUGUGCAUUGUUCAUAGAGGCUAGGAUUGAAUUAGAAAUGUUCUAUCCAAAAACAGCAGAAAUAAGGUUUUUUUUUGUUGACAAAAAUGGGAAAUUCACAUCAGAAUUGUAAAUGUGAUUUAUUACAUUAAUAAAUAAAAUGGUGAAACUUUAUUCGGUUGCAUUAUUUUGAAAAAAAAAUAAUAAUAAGAAAAAUAAGCAAUGCUCUUCCCAAAGCAACCAAAGCAACUAGUAAAAUCAAACAAUGAAUAAAUUUACUUCGAACUAGAUUUUGUUUGUUUCAAAAGGUUUCACUUAGUUCAAAACAACCAAUAUUUUAGGUUGUUCUAGUUGGUGGCAAAUAAAACAAGCAAGAUUAUGGUUGUUCAGAACAAAUCUUGGUUGAGUUCACCUUCAAAGUCGAAACAUAAGUCACCCACAAUUUUAGUUUGUUUCAA